AAACCAUGACAGUAAUUGUACAGUGACUCUAGUCCCAACAUUCUCAAGCUAGAAUAUGGAAUCCCUACUGAUUGGUUUGUUAGCCCUCUAUAAUCUUCUGGGAAUUCCCAAUCUAUUUAUUCCUCUACCUGUCCACUCCAGGAUGUACGUCUGGUUAAAUCAAACAGACUCUAGCUCUGGAGCAUCAGAAAUAAAACUGAGAAAGUUAAAUCAACUUCCCUUGAGGUACCGAAGAAAAGGAUCAUAUAUAUUUAUAAUUUGAAGCCAGGAUUGAGAACCGUUGAUCCAGGACCUUAGGUACCAUAUCAGGACUAUUGGUUUGUUUACUAGGAGCCAUGGGAAGACACUAAAAAUUCUUAAAUAAAAGAGUGUCCUUAUCAGGUUUGAGGUUUUUUUAUAUGAUCAUUUUGGCAGCUGGGAGAGUGUGAAUUUGGUGAGGAGGGACACAUGUGGAUACAGAAGAUUAAGAGACUUGAGUGAGGGAAGUAUCAGUGAAGAAUGAAAAGUUGACGUAUUCAAGGUAUAUUAAAAGAUGAAACUGACAGAAAAGUAUCAAUUGAUUGUCUGGGUGUGGGCUUUAGAAAAAGUGAGGGUAUCAGAGCUGACUUCUAGAUUUCUACAAGCAAUAGAUGAUGGCAACAAGAUUCUGACGUUUACUAAAUAUGAAACAAUGCAAGUUUUGAAUUCUAUCUUGGGCAUUUGAGUUGGAAAUUCAAGUUGACUACGUAUGUCUAAAAUACAGAUAGAUAUAAAUUUGAGAGUGAGUAUCACACUGGCAAACUCAGUGUUCUCUCUUCUCUAGUAACACUCUUGUUUCAGGGAGUAUGAAUUAUUAUAGAGAUGAGAAAGGGACUGAAUUGGGAAGAAAGUAGGAAAUGUUUCAGUUGGUACAGGUUUGUUUUUUUUUUUUAAGUUAAAGUAUGGUCAAGAUGUGUUUCUUUUAACUUCGCUCAAGAUACUGCAUUGCCUGAUCUAAGAAAAAGGGGGGAAAAAGAUCAAUAUAGUUUGUAAAUAAUCCUUCAAAGCAUUUUUUUUCUUCUUUAUUUUUAAGAAUGGAAGGGAGGUCACAAUGAAUAAGCAGUUCCUAGUGGCAGUGAAAAUCAAUAAUAAUCUAACUCUAAUCAUUUCAACAAAUGUUUCCCUGGUUUUUAUUAAGAUAUUAAUAUAUCUAUAUAUGUCGAUAUUAUUUAUUCUUAAUGUUAGAAAAAUAUGUGCAAAUGUUGCCUGACCUAUCACGGGAAUGGGUUUUCCUGACAAUAGGUUUUACUUUCAUGAAAACAGUGACUGUGACAUCAGAAAGUUAUGGAUGACUAGAGAACAGUAGUCAUCAAAAGUCUUUCAGAAAUUAUCAACAGUGCUUCUCUGGGAAAAACUGAGUUUCCCAACAAAAUGAUCAUCCUCUUAUGGCUUGGAAGAUCUCAGGAGGAAGACUUUGAAUCAAGGACACCAAUCUAUGCAGCAAAACAUCCAUCCCAGGAAUAAGGCAAAAUUCUUCAACUGAAAACUUCGCAAGUGGAUACCCCCUGAAGGGUGAAAGUGAGGUGCAACAGAGGAAAGAGUUAUUUUAGAACUUAUAGCAGACUCAGCUCCAACGCAGCUAGCAGACUUCAUGGAGGUGUCUUUAAUGUACCAGAACCUGUGGUAAAGAAUAGAAAAAUGAGCAAGCUAUAACUCCUCCUCUCAAGAAUUCUGAGUCUGGUGAGCCCCAAAAUAAUGAGAACCAAAAGACACAGCUCAAAAAAUGUGGACUAUGCAAGGUGAAUGAGAAUCAUGGAAAAGAAACUGAGGAAGUGAGGUGCUCUAAGUCUUUCUGUCUGAAUGGGAUACUAAAUGCCUUAGUGUGGUCUGCUAUUCUCUGGGUGAGGAACGUGUGUGUGCGCACGCGUGCACAUGCGUGGGCAAACAUGCCCCCAGGCACAGCUGGAGGAAUGAGGAAAUACCUGCCCAUAAGUAGAAGCUAUAGAAGCAAAGAAAAGGAGGACACAACAAAAGGCUAGAAAUAUUCCUUAUUUCUUGAUACCCACCUGAGAAUCACGCUUAGAAAUCAUAGCUUUGCUUUAAUGCACUGAGUUCAUGACACUCUGGGACAUGACAGAUUGAUCUUACAAAGGAGCCAAUUCAUCUUCUAUAGAUGGGAGGUUUAUUUCACACAGAAUCAUUCAGAGAAGGAAAAGGAAAAUUAUGCGCUAAUAUUUAUUGAAAACCAAAAAGAAUAAAGACAGAGACACGUAUUCCAGCACACAUUGAGAAAUACACUUGAGAACAAUUGUACUAGACGCCAAUUUGCAGUGUGCUCUAGGGUAAAAAUGGGAAAAUGGAAAUGUUUUUCCAAACCCAAGGUGAAAAUGAAUACAAAGUGUAAUAACACUAAUAAUAUUUGUAAAUGAGGCACUCAAUUACAGAAUAUUUUUAUACUCUGAAUCCUGGUGCUUUUUAAUUUUCAGAUAUAAAUUUGGUUAAAUUUCUUCUAUUUUAAAAAUGAUUCCCUCUGCUAUAAUCUUCUUUAAUAUAUAGUAAUAGAACAGCUUGAAAGCUUCCUCACAGAAGGUUGCCACAGCAACAUCCCUUCAAUACGUAUGCAUGGAAUUGGGGGAAGGGGGUUAGAAAUGCAGGUGAAACGCAGUGGACUAUGGAAUGUAAUUUAGUCGACUUUCAAGGGAGGAAUAAAAAAUCCAAGGGAAAUGGAGAAAGGGGAAAAGAUCAGACUGCAGAACAUGCAGACUAUUUUAGUCCUGAUCACCUCUGUUCUUGUGUCACUGUGAACACACCUCUAGAUAACCUAAAAGGAGAGAUGCUGCUUCUGAAAGACAGGCAAGGAGAAUGGACACAAAGAGGAUUCUUAAGGUAGGAACAGGGAACACAUUAUGUCCCAAGGCUGGCCCACAGCCAAACAGAGCCAAAGUGAGGUAGCUACCCAAGAGGGAGGCUCAGCCUACUUUACUCCCAGCUGCCUUCAAUGCCAAGUGUGCCUAUGUCUUUGCCAAUAUUUUUAUGCUUCUUUACACU